rnacentral:tRNA from 1 species
GUUUUUGUAGUUUAAUUAAAACAGUGAUUUUGUAAAUCAUUAAUUAGAAAAAUAUUUCUUAAAAACA